rnacentral:rRNA from 1 species
AGAACGAACGCUGGCGGCGUGGAUUAGGCAUGCAAGUCGAACGCGAAAGAGGGGGAAACCCCUUGAGUAGAGUGGCGAACGGGUGAGUAACGCGUGAAGAACCUGCCUUCAACAGGGGGAUAACACUCCCAACGGGGUGCUAAUACCGCAUGAGACCACGGAUUCAUAUGAAUCUGAGGUCAAAGGUGGCCUCUGCUUGCAAGCUACCGGUUGAAGAUGGCUUCGCCGUCCCAUUACGCUUAGUUGGCGGUAGUAACGGACCACCGAAGGCGACGAGUGGGUAGCUGGUCUGAGGAGGAUGGUCACGCCUACACGUUGGGACUGGAGACGUACCGGCCCAAG